UACGGGGGGGGGCAAGCGUUGUUCGGAAUUACUGGGCGUAAAGGGCUCGUAGGCGGCCAACUAAGUCGGAUGUGAAAUCCCCCAGCUUAACCUGGGAACUGCAUCCGAUACUGGAUGGCUUGAAUCCGGGAGAGGGAUGCGGAAUUCCAGGUGUAGCGGUGAAAUGCGUAGAUAUCUGGAGGAACACCGGUGGCGAAGGCGGCAUCCUGGACCGGCAUUGACGCUGAGGAGCGAAAGCCAGGGGGAGCAAACGGGG
rnacentral:rRNA from 1 species